rnacentral:rRNA from 1 species
UGGGGAAUAUUGGACAAUGGGGGGCAACCCUGAUCCAGCAAUGCCGCGUGUGUGAAGAAGGUCUUCGGAUUGUAAAGCACUUUCGACGGGGACGAUGAUGACGGUACCCGUAGAAGAAGCCCCGGCUAACUUCGUGCCAGCAGCCGCGGUAAUACGAAGGGGGCUAGCGUUGCUCGGAAUGACUGGGCGUAAAGGGCGUGUAGGCGGUUUACACAGUCAGAUGUGAAAUCCCCGGGCUUAACCUGGGAGCUGCAUUUGAUACGUGUAGACUAGAGUGUGAGAGAGGGUUGUGGAAUUCCCAGUGUAGAGGUGAAAUUCGUAGAUAUUGGGAAGAACACCGGUGGCGAAGGCGGCAACCUGGCUCAUGACUGACGCUGAGGCGCGAAAGCGUGGGGAGCAAACAGGAUUAGAUACCCUGGUAGUCCACGCUGUAAAC